rnacentral:tRNA from 1 species
GGCGGAUUCAUCAGGUGAUGGCGUGUGUUUUGGGGCUCACGUUCGUAGGUUCAAUUCCUUCAUUCGCCACCA